UCCACUAAUUGUUUUGCUCUCUUCACCAUACCCUUGUAAUCAGUUUCUGGUAUAUAUACUUUAGUUCUUACUAGUGAAAUUUAGAUAAAGAGGCCUAGCUAGUGUUGUUAGCUGCCUUGCAAUGGAAAUGGAUGCCGGUUCUGUAGCUUGCAACCAGUCAUGGUCCAUCAGCGAGGACUCGCUGAGAAGAUACGUUCAAUUCGCAGGCGAGAGCUGUGUGCAGGAGUUGUUAAUGUCGGCUUCAUCAGGGAAUUCGUGUCGCUGCGGCGACGGAUGGAAGAUUCUCAGCCGUGACAACGGUGUGGAGAUAUCGAAACGCAGGUAGAGGUCUCUUCAUAUCUUCCGUAGUCGCCGGCUGCUCAGAUCUGUGUCGCCAUAGCAAUUCAUCACCGUUUCCAAUGUUAUAGAAGCCGCCAAGCAAUGGGACCCUGACAUGGUAGAAGCCAGAUAUAUAAAAGAUGUUGAAGAUAACUUGAGCAUUAUUCGUCUUAAGUUUGGACAAAACUCAAGCCUUUCUUCAGAAGAAGAGAAUUCAUAGUUUACGAACGCCGUGAAACAAUGGAAGAUGGCACUUUGGUACACCAAUUUUUAUUUAAAAUAAUCACUCAAAAAUAUUCGAUACGACCCUAUAAAUAUAUAUAUAAAAAAUUAGAAUUCGGGUGAGGGUUGCAGGUAGUAGCAGUGGCAUCACUGCCAAAGGAAAUAGCAGCCGGAUUGCUUCCAAAGUAAAAUGAUGAAGAUUAAUGUGAUUGUCUUCUUAGUAACCUUCCUUCUCAAUUCAAUUCGUAAUAGGUCAAGAUGUAAGGGAGACCUGUCUCGAUGAACAAGAAAAAUAAAUGUUCAAAUUUGGUAACA